rnacentral:rRNA from 1 species
UAGUCCACGCUGUAAACGAUGAUUACUAGAUGUUCGGACUUCGGUCUGAGUGUCCAAGCGAAAGCGAUAAGUAAUCCACCUGGGGAGUACGUUCGCAAGAAUGAAACUCAAAGGAAUUGACGGGGGCCCGCACAAGCGGUGGAGCAUGUGGUUUAAUACGAAGCAACGCGCAGAACCUUACCUGGUCUUAACAUCCCGUGACAACAUCAGAGAUGGUGCUUUCCCUUCGGGGACACGGUGAUAGGUGCUGCAUGGCUGUCGUCAGCUCGUGUCGUAAGAUGUUGGGUUAAGUCCCGCAACGAGCGCAACCCUUGUCCUUAGUUGCUACCAUUAAGUUGGGCACUCUGGGGAGACUGCCGGUGUUAAACCGGAGGAAGGCGGGGAUGACGUCAAGUCCUCAUGGCCCUUACGACCAGGGCUACACACGUACUACAAUGGCAAAGACAAAGGGUCGCAAUACCGCGAGGUGGAGCUAAUCCCAAAAAACAUUGUCUCAGUCCGGAUUGGAGUCUGCAACUCGA